rnacentral:rRNA from 1 species
CAGCAGCCACGGGAAUACAGAGGGUGCAAGCGUUAAUCGGAAUUACUGGGCGUAAAGCGCGCGUAGGUGGUUUGUUAAGUUGGAUGUGAAAUCCCCGGGCUCAACCUGGGAACUGCAUUCAAAACUGACUGACUAGAGUAUGGUAGAGGGUGGUGGAAUUUCCUGUGUAGCGGUGAAAUGCGUAGAUAUAGGAAGGAACACCAGUGGCGAAGGCGACCACCUGGACUAAUACUGACACUGAGGUGCGAAAGCGUGGGGAGCAAACAGGAUUAGAUACCCGCGUAGUCCCUGUCUCUUAUAC